rnacentral:misc_RNA from 1 species
UGCAAGUCAGGGAACACAGGC